rnacentral:snRNA from 1 species
UUACUUUCCACAGUACAUAUACUAAAAUAAGAAAGACAAAGAUUCAAAUUGCCACUGUAAAAGGAAGACACUCAAGUUCAUGAAGUGUCCUAGAUUUUU